CCUACGGGGGGCAGCAGUCGAGAAUCAUUCACAAUGGGGGAAACCCUGAUGGUGCGACGCCGCGUGGGGGAAUGAAGGUCUUCGGUUUGUAAACCCCUGUCAUGUGGGAGCAAAUUAAAAAGAUAGUACCACAAGAGGAAGAGACGGCUAACUCUGUGACAGCAGCCGCGGUAAUACAGAGGUCCCAAGCGUUGUUCGGAUUCACUGGGCGUAAAGCGUGCGUAGGCGGUUGCGUAAGUCGUGUGUGAAAGGCGCGGGCUCAACCCGCGGACGGCACAUGAUACUGCGAGACUAGAGUAAUGGAGGGGGAACCGGAAUUUUCGGUGUAGGAGUGAAAUGCGUAGAUAUCGAGAGGAACACUCGUGGCGAAGGCGGGUUCCUGGACAUUAACUGACGCUGAGGCACGAAGGCCAGGGGAGCGAAAGGGAUUAGAUACCCCUGUAGUC
rnacentral:rRNA from 1 species